UUGAACGCUGGCGGAAUGCUUUACACAUGCAAGUCGAGCGGCAGCGCGGGGGCAACCCUGGCGGCGAGCGGCGAACGGGUGAGUAAUGUAUCGGAACGUACCCUGUCGUGGGGGAUAACACAGCGAAAGCUGUGCUAAUACCGCAUACGACCUGAGGGUGAAAGCGGGGGAUCGCAAGACCUCGCGCGAUAGGAGCGGCCGAUAUCGGAUUAGCUUGUUGGUGAGGUAAAGGCUCACCAAGGCGACGAUCCGUAGCUGGUCUGAGAGGACGGCCAGCCACACUGGAACUGAGACACGGUCCAGACUCCUACGGGAGGCAGCAGUGGGGAAUUUUGGACAAUGGGGGCAACCCUGAUCCAGCCAUUCCGCGUGAGUGAAGAAGGCCUUCGGGUUGUAAAGCUCUUUCAGCUGGAACGAAACGGUACGCUCUAACAUAGUGUGCUAAUGACGGUACCAGCAGAAGAAGCACCGGCUAACUACGU
rnacentral:rRNA from 1 species